ensembl:lncRNA
CAUUUCUUUCUUUUUGAUAUAUUCUUGGCUGUUUUUAUUUAUGGGAAGUAGUUCUGCACUACUAGAUGUCUCAAGCCCGGACAUUUCACAUAAUGUAUACUGGUAACAUGGUUAGUGAUGUGGUCAUUACUAUAGAUGGUACAGCUGUACCCAUAAUGAGUUUAUGCUGUUGUAGGCCACUUUCUUUCUCAAAUGGAAAUAAGCUCUUAGAGGCAUUUUUUACUUAUUGCUACUUCUGCUUUUUACUGGGAAAGUACAAAGGAAGACAGCCCCAAUUUGUUUGUACUGGAUACAGAGGUACUACAGUUACGUAUGAACAUUUCUCAUGGUAUGGAACAGAUCCUUCAGAUCCUCAGGACAGAGUCAUCUAUAGUGGUUAUUCCAGAAGCUCAGACUGCUGCUUUCCUUCUUUCCCUGCUCCCAGCAUGGUUUCUGCAGCAAAGAAACUGUGAAGUAUUAAGGGAGAAGUGCAGCUACCAACACUUGAAAUGUUUAAAGGAAGGCUGUGAUUCAGCACGCUCCUGCUCACAGAUUUGAUGCACGUUUUGCCGGUUGCUGACUACUGAGGCCUUCAAAUUCCUCUUUGUUGGAGAUGGGAAAAGAGGAUGGAAGCCAUAUGGACAGACUCAGAGGAGAGGGUAAAGUGACCAGGAGAAGCCCACAGAGAUCUUUCCCAAAGGAUGAGUGAGAUGAAACUGAAGGAAUGAACUCCCAUUGCCUUCUUCCUUCUGUGGACAGUGAAUACACAGACUUAAAAAAAAAUACAAAAAAAAGAUGUGUUUUGCUUGAAGUGAUGGUGCCUCCAAAUGCCCCCAUGAAGUCAGUUUUCCAGAUUAAAGCAUCAGGUGUUUCCUGUUCUCCAGAACACACCUAUACAAGCUGUCCAAGUGGCCUGUACAGUUCAAGGGAGUGUUGCCAGCAAUAGAGUUUUAAUGCAUACAUAUACAACUUCAAGGGUGUGCAUUCUUCUGCUUCCCACAGCUGCGCAGCUCACAUUUGUUCUGUAUUUGGGGUUGUUUCCUAUUGCUUGAGAGAAACACUGUGUUCUGGAUACACCAAAACACCACUCCAUGUCCGUUGCAAGGGACUGACUGAUGCUGAAUGGAAGAGCAAAAAGGAGGAAGAAGGAAGGACGCCACAGAGGACAGAACUACCUUCCGCUUUCUUUCAUGUCUGCUGGGAAAAAAAUGAGACGAUAUCCUGGGAAAGAUAUCAGACAGAUUUUACUUCUGUUAAUAUGAUGAAGCACUGGAAGAAGCUCCUUAGGAAUUAUUUACAUCAUCUUGUCCCAAGGAGACUUUAAGAACGGGUUCAAUAGUGUCUGUCUUAGUGAGUAAUAGAGGUGCGAUUCUCCCACAGUGCAGAUGGCUGGAUAGGGAGCAGGUUGUUAGAAAUAAUGGUCCUUUUGACACAGUGAGAAAUUCGGUGUGUGGUGAUAGAUGAGACAUUUUGAGACUUGAUAUUAAUCAGUCAGUUCACAAAUAUUUGGGAAGCCUUGCUCUGGAAGGUCCCUUCAACUCACCAUUUUUGCCAUGUAUUGAUACCUGCCUGGGUUGCAUGGCAGCCCACCAGUGUGCCAGGCCUGAGCAUGCUCACCAAUGAAUGCAGAGAUGGGAGAGAUGGGAAUGUGAAGAAAAUAGCUGAGGGAAGAGAAGGAAUGAACUAUAUAAGAGGAAACUCACUGAAAAAGUCUGACAGCCAAGGGAAAAAAAAGUCAGAUGCCAAGGAAAGAGAGAAAUACAAUCUGAAACAGUGAGAGUGGACUGAAAUUGCUUGUGAGCUGUAAAGUCUCAGAGAGUCCCAGGAAAAGCCUUGGUACCUGAGAGCCGAGACAGUGGCUCACAGCAGCACCAACCUAAGAUGAGAGCACGAAGCUGAAGCGAGCGGCCUGGGCUGGUGCUGCAGGCAAAUAAAUGACAGUAUCAGAGACCAUCCAGUGUCCUCCUCCAUGAUAAUUGAGUGCCUAAUUAUACAAAAGUGAUGUGAGAGAGAAACACCGAAUCGGACCCAGAAUUCGUGGGCAUCUCCCUGCUUACUGAGCCCAUCCACCUGACCCCACCAAGACGGGUGCUGAAAUUCAGGUUACCCCAGAAGGGAUCAGAGGAGGGAACCCCACGUUUCAGGAGUGGUUUGUGAGCUACCUGCCGGUUUUGGCCCCAGGGAGGAGGCUGUUAUAUUGCAACUGCCCUGUGCUAAAGGGUUGGUUAAAAAGCACCUCGGAAUAAAGGAGGCGGAAAGCUCAGACCAGAAUGGAGAGCUGCCAGGAAGCAGACAGCUGCAGGAGGAAAUGGCAGAGAGCAUCCAUGUGGUGCCAUUGUGCCAAGGCUGAGGGCAGCAGCCAGCCCAGGACGGGCAGCGGGACAUGGGGACGUGGUGGCAGAGUCACUGAAGGCCCUGGGAGGGAGCAGAGGCGUGAGUGCAUCACCCGUAUGGUGUGCCAGUUGUUGCAGCCUGCCUGAUGCACCUGGGAUUUCUAAGGUAUUUGGUUUCCAUAAGUACAACUCAUUUCGUGGUUUUAAUCAUUUAUUUUUUCAGUCUGAUUUCUCUUCAUUUUUUUUUCACCUCCCAGAUGGCAUUCUGUAUCCAUUGACACAGAAGAUAAUUUCCCAGUAUUUUCUUUAAUGAACGACCUAUUAUGAACAAGCAAGAAAAACCCAUACUGCACAAUUCUUCCACAGAUAAACUGGAGGGAUAUCCAGAUUUCAGGGACGGAUCCUGGAAGAACACUCAGGCGGUAAUGACCUCUGACAUUUGGAAGGCCAAAUAAUAGUGGAAUAAGUGGCUUAGACAGAGUUAAGCCAGAGAGAAUGUUCCACCCCACACUGGCAUGGUGCUCUGCUUCGCUCCAUUUCACAUCUCUGCUUGUCCAUGAAGUCAUGUCCCUAAAUCCAGAAAGUUUCCAUCAGAAAUGCUCGAUAUUGCAUGUUUAGUGUAACUCUUACACCCUGUCAAAACUUCUAAAGCACAACAAAUUCAUCUGGAAAUUCAGAUCGCUUCCGACAGUGCUGUUGCGGGGAUAUAACAGGAGCUCUGCAGGGAGAAGGUGGGAUGAAGGCACUGAGAGGGGAUCGUUGCACAGGGGGAUUGAUUGCCAUGGAGGAAGACCAGAAAAGGGAUAAAAGACAGCAACAAAAUGAAUAGCAAAGAAGGUGGAAAGAGGAAACAGAAAUGGUGAAGUGAUACCAUAAUACUCUACUGGCUCAAAAGCAAGGAAAAAUUAUGAAAACAUUAAUUUAUUAAUUUUCAGCCAAAUGAAAACGAAGCAAUAAAAAAAAACCCCAAAAAUAGUGCAUAAAAACAGAGCAGAAAUUAGAACAUGUGAAGAAAACAGGCAGCAAAGGAAGAGGAAAUGAAGAGUGGUGAAACAAGUGUUGGAAAUAAAGGAGUGGGGGUGAAGAAGCAACACAAAGAGGUCUGAUGCUCGGGGCUUUUAGAGAUACUUAGAAUCUUCAGCUGAGAGCGGGGUCGUCUUGUAGAAGAUGAUACAGAGGCACACAAUAAAGGACUGCUGGUCCCAGGAGCCUGGCAAGCUAAGCAAGGGGAGAGAGGAAAUAUCACCACUGUUUUGCAGAUGGAAAACCAGAG